AUUGAACGCUGGCGGCAGGCUUAACACAUGCAAGUCGAACGAGUGGCGGACGGGUGAGUAAUGUCUGGGAAACUGCCCGAUGGAGGGGGAUAACUACUGGAAACGGUAGCUAAUACCGCAUACCAUCGGAUGUGCCCAGAUGGGAUUAGCUAGUAGGUGGGGUAACGGCUCACCUAGGCGACGAUCCCUAGCUGGUCUGAGAGGAUGACCAGCCACACUGGAACUGAGACACGGUCCAGGCUCCUACAGGAGGCAGAAGUGGGGAAUAUUGCGCAAUGGGCGCAAGCCUGAUGCAGACAAGCCGCGUGUAUGAAGAAGGCCUUCGGGUUGUAAAGUACUUUCAGCGAAGAGGCGUUACUCGCAGGAGAAGCACCGGAUAACUCCGUGCCAGCAACCGCGGUAAUUC
rnacentral:rRNA from 1 species